rnacentral:rRNA from 1 species
UACGAAGGGGGCUAGCGUUGUUCGGAAUUACUGGGCGUAAAGCGCGCGCAGGCGGCUAUCCAAGUCAGUGGUGAAAGCCCGGAGCUCAACUCCGGAACUGCCAUUGAAACUGUUUUAGCUUGAGGACGAGAGAGGUGAGUGGAAUUCCCAGUGUAGAGGUGAAAUUCGUAGAUAUUGGGAAGAACACCGGUGGCGAAGGCGGCUCACUGGCUCGUAUCUGACGCUCAGGCGCGACAGCGUGGGGAUCAAACAGG